ACCAGACUCCUACGGGAGGCAGCAGUGGGGGAUAUUGCACAAUGGGGGGAACCCUGAUGCAGCGACGCCGCGUGGGUGAAGAAGCGCCUCGGCGCGUAAAGCCCUGUCAGCAGGGAAGAAAAUGACGGUACCUGAAGAAGAAGCCCCGGCUAACUACGUGCCAGCAGCCGCGGUAAUACGUAGGGGGCAAGCGUUAUCCGGAUUUACUGGGUGUAAAGGGGGCGCAGACGGCGAUGCAAGCCAGGAGUGAAAGCCCGGGGCCCAACCCCAGGACUGCUCUUGGAACUGCGUGGCUGGAGUGCAGGAGGGGCAGGCGGAAUUCCUGGUGUAGCGGUGAAAUGCGUAGAUAUCAGGAGGAACACCGGUGGCGAAGGCGGCCUGCUGGACUGCAACUGACGUUGAGGCCCGAAAGCGUGGGGAGCAAACAGGAUUAGAUACCCUAGUAC
rnacentral:rRNA from 1 species